rnacentral:tRNA from 1 species
UGGGGUGUAGCUCAGUGGUAGAGUGCUUGCCUAGCAUGUGCAAGGCCCUGGGUUCAUUUCCCAGUACUACUC